AUCAGAGGGCCGGGUUCGCCGCCCCGAGUGGGCGCGGCGAAGGCGCCGCGGAGCUGAGGGAGCGGCCGUCGUGACGCCGUGAGGGGCUGAGACAAUUGAAAUGUUGAAAACAUCACAAAACAAGAUGUUUACAGCUUUGAAGUAUCACUCAACAGACUAUUUAUAUGAGAGCAUGGCAAGGCAGAAGUUUUCCAUCUGGAAAUUAUCACUUUGCUUUCCUCCCUGUUUACAUCAAGAUGAAAAGUAUCAUCUCAAUGGACUCUUUGCUGAUGAUAAGUAUAGGAAGCCAUGGACUAGAAGUAUGUUAUAUAAUCAUUAUGUUUAGUUUAGAUUUACUGUGGAUUAAAGGGAAAGCUUGUGUUUAUCCAUAAUGUGAUAAAUGUGGUAAAAAUAAAUAUUUCCAGACAUAUCACUAUGGCAUUUCUUAUAGCUCUUGGAAGUAGGGCAUCUUCAUUGCCCAAAU